AUUUUCCUCUUAUGUGUUUAUGAAGAAUGAUAAACUAUAUUUAAUAUUUUAACCCAUAUUUAAAUAUAUAGUGAAUCAUUAAUAUAGUAUGUGCAAGACAAAUAUUAAUAUAUUACUUAUACUUUGCUGCAUAACAAAUAACCUCAGAACUGAGUGGCUUAAAAACAAUGAGCAUUCAUCAUGUCAGAGUUUCUGUGGCUCAGGAAUCCAAGCAAGGCAUAGCUAAGAGCUUCUGCUUCAAAGUCUCUCAUGAGGUUGCCCACAGGCUAAGUGGGGGAGGCUGACUGGGGAGAGUCUUCUUCUCAGUUCACUCAUGUGGUUAUUGGAAGGCCCCAGUCCCUUGCCACGUGGGCCUCUCCACCUGGCAACUUGCUUCCCUUGGAGUGAGUGUUCCAAGAGUGAGCAAGAGAAUGAGAGAACACCCAAGUUGGAAUCUACCUUCUUUUAAUAACCUAAUCUCUGAAGUGACAGCCCAUCAUUUCUGUUGUAUUCUAUUGGCUAGAAGCAAGUGAAUC
rnacentral:lncRNA from 1 species